UGCGGUUAAAAAGCUCGUAGUUGGAUUUCUGUCGAGGGUGGACGGUCCGCACUAUGUGCGUGUAUCUGUUACGGCCUUGGCAUCCUCUUGGGGAACGUGUCUGUGCUUGAUUGCAUGGCGCGGUAUUCAAGACUUUUACUUUGAGGAAAUUAGAGUGUUCACGGCAAGCAUAAGCUUUGAAUACAUUAGCAUGGAAUAAUAAUAUAGGACGUUCGCCCUAUUUUGUUGGUUUCUAGAGUGAGCGUAAUGAUUAAUAGGGAUAAUUGGGGGCUUCGUAUUAACGCGUCAGAGGUGGAAUUCUUGGAUUGCGUUACGACGAACUACUGCGAAAGUAUUUGCCAAGGAUGUUUUCAUUGAUCAAGAACGAAAGUAUGGGGAUCGAAGACGAUUAGAUACCCGUCCGUAGUCUAUACCAUAAACUAUGCCAACUAGAGAUGGGGCGUGU
rnacentral:rRNA from 1 species